UUAACAUUGUGAAAAAGUCAGGGAAAAGGGUCAGACUGGAGUUGACAUGCCUUGGCAAGUUGCUUCACAUUGUGAUAUCGUCAUGAGAUUGUGGCUGACGAGACGAAGAUAUACAUGUUCGGCGGUGGCAAGAUGUGUACAACAUGACGGGAGGCUAUGACGGAGCACAGAUUUUUGGAGACAUCUGGAGAAUUCAUCUGCCUACAAUGAGCUGGGUGAAGUAUGAUGCAGAGAUUUCUAUACUGUCAUACUUUCACUCAACAGCUGUAAUGCCUUUGCUGUUGGAAUGUCUUCAUAUGCCAUCCACAGCCAUCUCAAGUGAGCUUGUCUGACUGAUAUCAAAGGAUGAAUAGAAAGAUCAGGGUAGAAGCACUACUCGAGCAUCUACACUUAUCAGAAGGCAACGCAUACCAUUGUCCAGCUGACAUCAUGUAAAGACAGAUCUAUCUAUCGACUCACGGAUUGAAGCAUCACCUUAAACCAGCUAUGGAGUAGGAACCUCACCAUGCUAAAUGCCAUCACCAGUCAAGGAGCACCCAUAGAGUCUAAGGAGCACCCAGAGCAUCUAAAGAGCACACAGAGUACUGCUAGUAAAAAUGCCAGUUGCAUGCAACCUCAUGACUCGCCAUAACUCAUGAUUGCCUAGCUAUCCCACAGACGAAACCACUCAGCCAAGUUGAUUCCCAAUUCUAUUAUAUGAUAUAUAUAUAUAUAUUAUGAAAGGGGAGAGACUUUCAUAAGUACAUAGUGGGAAGGUAAGCUUCCUCUUCCACCCAAGCUACAAGUUUCCCUGUUAGUUUGACCAAGCACGGAAUGUAUACUUUCCUCCAUCUGAUAUCCAUCAACAAAGACCAAAGACAGCAAAGAGAUGAUCCAGUGAUGAGCUGCAAACUUCAUACCAACAUCUACUUUUGGAGACAGAGUGUCAUAGCCAUGCUAGAGUCGCUUGGAUGGCUGACACUGGUGGGAGGAGCAGUGGUCAAGUGGUUGUUGCUCAGGACUUCAGGCUGAAAGGUCUGGGGCCUGAGUGCCACCUUGAUCACUGCUCUUGUGCCCAUGAGCAAGGCACUUUAUUCCAGUUCGCUUGGAGAAGGGAGUGACUUUCAUAAGUCACUAGUGAGGAGAUAAGCUUCCUCUGCGGCCCUAGCUACAGGUUGCCCUUAGGCAAAGCAUAACACCUGUUCAGCCUCCCAUGCCAGGGUUACGGUGAAGAUGUCUAAUAUAGUGAAAGCAUACAAAUGAUUGGACAUAGCGUUGCAUAUAACUCAACUAGGGAAAGGGGAAGAAGAAGACGACGAAAAAUAGUGAAGAAGAAGAUGAACAAGAAGAAGAAGAGGAGGAGAAGAGGAAGCUAUGAUAGAGAGAAGAGGGAUAUUUGAUGCCAAGUCGAUGGCUCAUGAGGCUGGGAUUAGACCAAGGUGUCUUUUCAUCUAAUCAAACACGAUGGAUGCUAAUCGUCGAGACUAGCACUACUCUACAAGCAAGGAUCCAGGACUUCAGACUCACUUCUGUUGACAAGCUGCGUAACACUGCCACGGAUCAGCAUACGCCCACACAAGCCACCCCAUCGUGUAAAAGGACAUUUGCGAAGACAUAGACACAUCAUCAAGCUGACGGGAGGCGUGAGUGUAUGAAAUCGUUGAAGCCAGGACUGUUAAUUAUUGCGACGAUGCACUAUGUUAACGUGAAACUGCCUUAAUUGUUACCAUCUGUAUGUUGUUAAUCGAAUCCAGAGUAGUUUUUCAUCGAGUUCGUUUUUAGAAGUCAGCAGUUCAAUGUUCGAAGUAUUUGACUAGACUUUUUAAUGACAAAGAUAGGAAAUUUGUUUUUCGUGGCAGUGAUAGUGGCAGCAAGUAGACGAUUUUAAUGUACCAUUUUCAUGUAAUUGUGGAUGCAAAUAUAUCAAUGUCUGCUGAUUGAUCAAUGACGAUAAGCCAAUUUCGCAUUUAGACUGCACAUGCUCCUUAACAUAAAUUCGCUCCCAAGUCCUAGCGUUCGACAAUCAUAAAAUAAAUAUGCUUUUACAAAAUUCUAACUCCGGUCUCAUUGCAAUUAAAUGUAAUUAGCUACAAGUAAGUUUCAGGGCACUUGCUAAGAAGAUUAGCUGUGAUUUGGCUACGAUACGUAGAGUAAUUUGGCUUCAAAGGUCAUUUAGCUUCUUUGUCCAGUAUAUUUUCAGCAUAUGAUUGGGGUACCCUAAAGGUUAGGGCUUGCUGUUUAUUACGUAACUUAGCCUAUGUUUAGGUCACAAUUCCAUUAUAUUAAAUUUGUUGGAGACAUGUCUAUUCUUAAAAGUAGUAUUUUUAAAGAUUAGCUAGAACUUGUACUACAAUUUGCUACCAAAAAUGAUAUUAGUAGAAAAGUACAACAUUGGCAGAGAUGACUUUUUUCUGAUGCAAUAACCGAAACAUGCCCCAAUGCAAUGCUCUCCAAAAUGCGAAAUUGGCUUAUUAAAUUUAUUUACAUGUCAUCAAUCAAUUUACUAACUUCCAAAUCGUUUUUAUAAUUCAAAACUUCUUCGAAACUCACUAUUGAACUUAUUAACCUACAGGGAAGAAUUUCUCACUUGACUAGCAUUUAAACAAUUUGUCCAAAGCAUUUAGCAUUGCAUUAGCAUUAAGCAUUUAGCCAAUUGACUCGCUUCAGAUUCCACUAUUCUGUCAUAAGUAUGCAAUUUGCAGCAAAAAUAACGUCACAUAAAUUGUUAAGUUGUAAUUUGCAGCAAACCUCGCCACUAGAUGGCAGUUGUUGGCUAUUAGUGAAGUGAUUCACUAGUGACCAUAUGGUAGUAGAUUUGGAAGCAAGUUGAUUCGUUUCAUGGAAAUUUGUUUUGUAUUUUAUUUGGAAAUGUGUGUGAAUGUAGAGUAGUGUUUCUAGGAGCUUUUCCAGGUGAACGACUGCGAGCGUGAACGGAAGCAUGAUCGUGAGUGUA